UGGGGAAUUUUGGACAAUGGGCGCAAGCCUGAUCCAGCCAUGCCGCGUGGGUGAAGAAGGCCUUCGGGUUGUAAAGCCCUUUCGGCCGGGAAGAAAACGUGCGGGCGAACAGUCUGCAUGGAUGACGGUACCGGAAGAAGAAGCUCCGGCUAACUACGUGCCAGCAGCCGCGGUAAUACGUCGGGUGCGAGCGUUAAUCGGAAUUAUUGGGCGUAAAGCGUGCGCAGGCGGCGCCAUAAGACAGCUGUGAAAUCCCCGGGCUUAACCUGGGAACUGCGGUUGUGACUGUGGGGCUAGAGGACGGCAGAGGGAGGUGGAAUGCCUGGUGUAGCAGUGAAAUGCGUAGAGAUCAGGAGGAACACCGAUGGCGAAGGCAGCCUCCUGGGCUGAUACUGACGCUCAUGCACGAAAGCGUGGGGAGCAAACA
rnacentral:rRNA from 1 species